rnacentral:rRNA from 1 species
UAGUAGUAUGAAUGGUUGAAUAUUAAUUAACUUUUUUAAAUAAAAAUAAUAAAAUUAUAUUUAAAGUUAAAAUACUUUUAUUAAAAAAAUGGGACGAUAAGACCCUAUAAGUUUUAUAAGUAAUUUACUUAAAAAUUUAAAAUCUUAUUUAACUGGGGAAGUUAAAAUGAUUAUUUUAUUUUUAUUUAAUAACUAAUUUAUCAGAUUUAAUGAUUAAUUAUAUAAUUAAAAUUAGUUUGAGUUACUUUAGGGAUAACAGCAUAAUAAUUUUAAAAAGAUCUUAUUAACACAAUUAAUUAUGACCUCGAUGUUGAAUUAAAAAAUCUAUUAAGAGCAGAAUAAUAAUAAGAGGGUUUGUUCAACCCUUAAAUUUUUACAUGAUUU